rnacentral:rRNA from 1 species
GGAAGUAAAAGUCGUAACAAGGUCUCCGUUGGUGAACCAGCGGAGGGAUCAUUACCGAGUUUACAACUCCCAAACCCAAUGUGAACGUUACCAAUCUGUUGCCUCGGCGGGAUUCUCUGCCCCGGGCGCGUCGCAGCCCCGGAUCCCAUGGCGCCCGCCGGAGGACCAACUCAAACUCUUUUUUCUCUCCGUCGCGGCCUACGUCGCGGCUCUGUUUUAUUUUUGCUCUGAGCCUUUCUCGGCGACCCUAGCGGGCGUCUCGAAAAUGAAUCAAAACUUUCAACAACGGAUCUCUUGGUUCUGGCAUCGAUGAAGAACGCAGCGAAAUGCGAUAAGUAAUGUGAAUUGCAGAAUUCAGUGAAUCAUCGAAUCUUUGAACGCACAUUGCGCCCGCCAGUAUUCUGGCGGGCAUGCCUGUCCGAGCGUCAUUUCAACCCUCGAACCCCUCCGGGGGGUCGGCGUUGGGGAUCGGCCCCUCACCGGGCCGCCCCCGAAAUACAGUGGCGGUCUCGCCGCAGCCUCUCCUGCGCAGUAGUUUGCACACUCGCACCGGGAGCGCGGCGCGGCCACAGCCGUAAAACACCCCAAACUCUGAAAUGUUGACCUCGGAUCAGGUAGGAAUACCCGCUGAACUUAAGCAUAUCAAUAAGCGGAGGA